rnacentral:rRNA from 1 species
AUGAAACUCAUUGGAUGGAACUGCCGGGGGCUUGGGAACGGCCCGGAAGUUCGAAGCCUCCUCGAUUUGGGGAGGAUGGAGGAGCCCGACGUCCUUUUCUUGGCAGAGACAAAGCUGUCAGAGAAGGAGCUUGAGAAGUUUCGGUGGAUGCUGGGUUUGGCACAUAUGGUUGCUUGGAACCCGGUGGGAAGAAGCAGGGGUGUGGCGCUGUUUUGGAGGAGGGGGCUCAACAUUGCUCUAAGAUCGUUUGGUAGGCGCCAUGUGGACGUGGAUGUGACCGAAGAGGACGGUAGGGUGUGGCGUAUGACGGGGGUUUAUGGAGAGUCGGAGGUGGAUAGGAAGGUGGAGACCUGGAGGAUGUUGCGUUUACUGGGACAACAACAUCAACACGGGCGACCCUGGCUGUGUCUAGGAGACUUCAACGAGAUCUUGACCUAUGAUGAGAAGAUUGGAGGUGUCGCAAGAGCUCAACGGUUCAUGGAUAAUUUCAGGGGGGCUCUUGAGGCCUGCGAGCUAAGUGAUCUAGGGUAUGAGGGAGAUAAAUUCACUUGGAGAAACCAUAGUAAGGAAGUGGACACAUACAUUUGUGAACGGCUCGAUCGUGCCACGACCAACACUGCGUGGUGUGAGUGGUUCCCUGAGUUCACCGUGCUGAAUGGUGCUCCUCGACAUUCGGAUCACAGGCCAGUGAUUGUUUGCACUUCAGGAGAGCACAGGAGAGAACCUGGGGGGGGAUCGCGGUUUCCGGUUCGAGGGAUGGUGGCUUCGAGAGGAAGGCUGUAG